rnacentral:rRNA from 1 species
GACAGAGGGGGCAAGCGUUGCUCGGAAUUACUGGGCGUAAAGGGCGCGUAGGCGGGAUGGCAAGUCGGUCGUGAAAUCCUUCGGCUCAACCGAAGAACGUCGAUCGAUACUGCUGUUCUUGAGGGUUGCAGAGGAGACUGGAAUUCCCGGUGUAGCGGUGAAAUGUGUAGAGAUCGGGAGGAACACCCGUGGCGAAGGCGGUUCUCUGGGACGGUACUGACGCUGAGACGCGAAAGCGUGGGGAGCGAACAGG